AGCGUCCGGGGGUGGGGCUUCCGCUGCUGCGCGCCAGCGCCAGCCCCUCCUCCACCCGCACUUUUCUCACUGCGCCUUGCGUCGCCUGGUGACUCGCCGCAGCCGCAGGCCUGGCCGGCGUGGCCCGCCAGGCCUGCUGCCCGCACUCUUGCCCGAGGCUACCGCGGGCAAGGUUAUUCUUUUGGGAUUCCUCUUAGGGCAGGCACUGAACUUCGGACAGAACAUAUAUUACCUCAGCAGUCCUCACAAUGACACAGUAAUGUGUAAGAUGUUCCAAGCUCUUCAACUUCUGCACCAGCCCUGGUUCCGUUUAGUGAAGAAUGGCAUUCUGGAAUAAGUUCAGGUGCAAGAUGAACUCAUUGGAACUGGGAUGUCAUAGCUUCUAGGCCGCUCCAGGCUGCAGGUUUUUAAGGCAGCAGUGAUGGAAAACUGCACAGAUCUCUCCUUGCACAGACCUCGGCUGUCCUCAGGGCUGUAGCUGGCUGGCUUCUCAGAGAGCCAAUGACUGCAGAGAACUCCAAGAACCAGAGAGGUGGUGCUGGGCCUCCUGUGAGCAGAGGUGGGGACAAGUGCUGUCUGUCUCUAGUGGCUCUCACACACCUCACCCCGGUGGCCUCCACCACAGUCCUGGGGACAGGAUGCAUUUUUCUGUCUUCCAGAUGAGAGGCUGAGCCUCAGCCUCAGAGAGUGAGGGUGGCAAGGGCGAGCAGAAAUCUCUGCCAACUCUCGUGCUCUUUGUGGUCCAGCCUGGCCAGAGCCGCCUGGCCCAGAGGUAGCAAGGCAGACAAUGUGAGGCCACAGGGAGCCCUGCUGAGACUGGUCUUCCCAGGGCCCAGGAUGAAUGGCACUGCCACCUCUUGGGACACAGACCCUGCCCUGCUGGGCUUCAGCCAGGCUGGCCUAUGACAAAGAAGCAAUGCCAACCCUUGUGACUGGCCUUGCAGGAACCAGCUGUGGAAGAAGCUGCGUCAUGCCGGGAUGAGGGGCAUGAGGAGCCACAGGAUGAAGAUGACUAACUUCAUUCGUUUCUGUGGUGUGAACCCCUCCAUGGUGCCCUGAGGGCUCAGAGUCCUGCACACCAGCCUGGAGAGGGCCUGGGAGGGCUCAGCUCAAGGAAGCCAGUGGUUUCAAGAAUGGCAAGGCUGACUGUAGGGGUACAGCCCCCGGUUCUGGAAGGGGCAGCUGGAGUUGGCAAGACAGGGAGUGGCACCCUGGGGCAUUAGGCAGUUGGGAGGGACCCUGAAACUGAGAGGAAGAGCCUGCCAGAUGGGCUCUGAAGUCGAGUCUGGCUGCUCCACUAGGUGUCCUCAGGGCCUGGUGACAGCCACCUGACCUUCCUCUGUCACUUUUUCCUCAUAUGCAAAAUGAGAAUAAUAAUUCUGCUGACCUACUUCUGAGGAUAUUUGUGAAAAAUAAAACAUGGCAAAUUAAAGAGGGUGGGGAAAAAGCAAAGAGAGAAGGAAAAAGAGGAACAGGAAGAGAAUAAGAAAAUAAUAUAAAUAGGAGGAAGGAAAGAAACAGAUAAUUCUCAUCUUGGUAUCAAGAUGCAGAAACUGGAAGUGAAGAGCAGUCCACCAGGCCUUCCAGAGGUCCCAAGCAGACAGACAACUUCUGAAAAAACAGAUUACCAUUGUUAUCAAGUUGAUUUUUAUUGAUACAUAAUACUUGUACAUUUAUGGGCUACAUAUAAUAUUUGAUAUAUGCCUACAUGUACAAUGAUCAGAGUAUUUAGCAUAUCCAUCAUCUUGAACAUUUAUCAUUUCUUUGGGGAACAUUUCAAAUCUUCUUUUCUAGCUAUUUUGAAAUAUACAAUAUAUUAUUGUUAAAUGUAGUCACCUUAUUGUGCUGUUGAACACUAGAACUUAUUCCUUCUAACUGUAUGUUUGUACCCACUAACUCUGUGGUCUCCAUCCCCCAGGCUGUGGACCGGUGCUGGUCCAUGGCCUGUAAGGAACUGGGCGGCACAGCAGGAGGUGAGUAGUGGGCAAGCUAGGGAAGCUUCAUCUAUAUUUACAGCUGCUCCCCAUCGCUUGA